UUAUACAUGCAGUCGAGGGGCAGCAUGGUGUAGCAUACACUGAUGGCGACCGGCAAACGGGUGCGGAACACGUACGCAACCUACCCAAAACUGGGGGAUAGCCCGGGGAAACCCGGAUUAAUACCUCGUAACAUUAUGGAGUGGCAUCACUUUAUAAUUAUAGCUCAGGCGGUUUUGGAUGGGCGUGCGGCUGAUUAGGUAGUUGGCGGGGUAACGGCCCACCAAGCCUUCGAUCAGUAACUGGUGUGAGAGCACGACCAGUCACACGGGCACUGAGACACGGGCCCGACUCCUACGGGAGGCAGCAGUAAGGAAUAUUGGUCAAUGGACGCAAGUCUGAACCAGCCAUGCCGCGUGAAGGAUGAAGGCCCUCUGGGUUGUAAACUUCUUUUAUAUGGGACGAAACCCUCGAAUUCUUUCGGGAUUGACGGUACCAUAAGAAUAAGCACCGGCUAACUCCGUGCCAGCAGCCGCGGUAAUACGGAGGGUGCAAGCGUUAUCCGGAUUCACUGGGUUUAAAGGGUGCGUAGGAGGGUANGUAAGUCAGUGGUGAAAUCUCCGAGCUUAACUUGGAAACUGCCAUUGAUACUAUCUAUCUUGAAUACCGUGGAGGUGACCGGAAUAUGUCAUGUAG
rnacentral:rRNA from 1 species